GACGAACGCUGGCGGCGUGCCUAAUACAUGCAAGUUGAGCGCUGAAGGUUGGUACUUGUACCAACUGGAUGAGCAGCGAACGGGUGAGUAACGCGUGGGGAAUCUGCCUUUGAGCGGGGGACAACAUUUGGAAACGAAUGCUAAUACCGCAUAAAAACUUUAAACACAAGUUUUAAGUUUGAAAGAUGCAAUUGCAUCACUCAAAGAUGAUCCCGCGUUGUAUUAGCUAGUUGGUGAGGUAAAGGCUCACCAAGGCGAUGAUACAUAGCCGACCUGAGAGGGUGAUCGGCCACAUUGGGACUGAGACACGGCCCAAACUCCUACGGGAGGCAGCAGUAGGGGAUCUUCGGCAAUGGGCGAAAGUCUGACCGAGCAACGCCGCGUGAGUGAAGGAGGUUUUCGGGUCGUAAAACUCUGUUGGUAGAGAAGAAAGUUGGUGAGAGUGGAAAGCUCAUCAAGUGACGGUAACUACCCAGAAAGGGACGGCUAACUACGUG
rnacentral:rRNA from 1 species